AUCUUUCCGACCCUCUGGCAACACUUUCUUUAAAAUGGAAACAAAACAGAAAAGAUUAGCAUGGACCUACAUAAGGAUGUUACUCAAAUUCAAGAACCUAUGUUUUA